UCUGCAUGGUCUCUGAGGAGAGAGAACAUCUCUGUUCUGUGCAGCACUCAGCCUGCUCUCUUUGCUCCAACAGUAAGAAUAGCAAACAAGAAAUGCUGCAAUUGAUGCCAGGCAGUAGGAAGCACUUGGAUAUUAUAUGAGAAAUAAAUUGAUUUUCUACAUGACCUUGGAAAAAUUUGAUGGGGCUGAUUCUGCACUGGAAGUCAAUGGGCCAUAUUCUACAAAGAGAUGAGGACUGAAACUGCAUCCCUCCUGUAUCUUCUGUCUCUGCACUUACAAAAAGAGGCCAAUAGUGUACUCCUACCUCCUCCUUGGGGUACAGCAAACCUAAAUCACCUGCUAUUUGCAAAGAUUCUAGUGUCAAAAGUAUGUAGGCUGCCUCAGCUUGAAUCUGCUGGGACUCUGAAGAGCAGGGGCUUUGCUCUGGUUGUGGGUUACCCAGCAGAGGGCAACAUCACUCUCACACACAAAAACUAUUCGUAUGCUGCUUGAUCCAAACUUGCCGAAAGCAAGAGGAAUCUUUUCUUUGGCCUUUAUAGCUCUGUUUAAAUGCAGAUUUUUACUGUAUUUCAAUAUUAGCCUUAAAAUGAAAUGCCAGUGUGUUAGCACUCCCAUGGCACCGUUGGCAGCUAGCCUUAGAAAAAAAGCUUCAAAACCUUCCAGUGCAGGCCAGAAACACAAUAGCAAUUUUUAUUUUGUUGAUGGUUGAUACAGUGCUAAUAUCCUUAACAGCUGUGACUGAGAAUUGCUUUGAGUGUUGCAUGGCUUUAGUUAAAUUUUAUCACUCUUAUCUAUUUAUUUGAUAUGUGACCCGAGGGUAUUUGAGGUACAUGUCACAGGAGCUGGAAAAGAAAGACAUCAGGUGGAUCCUGAUCUCAUGGAAACUAAUGGCAGCAUUUUCUUGCAUUUUCAAUGAGGUCAAGGGCUGUGCCUGAGCGUUCCAUCGAAGCUUAUAGUUCUCAGGGUCCUUGGGGCACUACUGAACCUUACUGACCCUGACCAGCUUCUCCCCGCUCUCUGGGAACCCAGUUUCAGCUCAGGGCUUGGCACCCAGUCCAGGCCUGAGCUAUGCUGUGGGCAUGUUUAUCUCUGACCUUGUCUUCUGGAUGGACCCUGUCCUGUCUCCAGUCCUACCUCCUGACCUUGUCUUCUGGAUGGACCUUGGAACUGCCUGGUUACUUUGUCUGGUCAGAGGCUGCUGAUUGGAUUCAUUGCUGUGACCUCCAGGCUCUGCUGCAUCUUCAGACCUUGUGAGACUGCUACCCUGCCAGUGAGGGCAUGGCCUGUGCUGGGCCACCUGUGCUUCCUGGUUUGAUCCGCUCAUGGCACAGCCCUGCUCACACUGCUCCUCCAGAGGCUCAGUUUAUGCCCUGUGAGAAAUCCCCAAUGAGAAAUUCAGUCAAACCAUUUAGAGCACUUGAAGUGAACAGGGGGGUUAUAAUAAAUCUUUGCAGGAUCACAAGUCUGUGUAAUGCAAAAACAUGCAACCCAGGAAAUAGAAAUAGUUGUAUACAGCUUAACUGAAUGGUAAGCUGUGCUUGCUGGAAGCCGGUCUUUUAGAUAACCAGAUCUAUUAAAGAAACGGCUAGUCUUCAGGCUUGCAGAGAACAGCUUGAAAAGUGAAGAACUAUAGAGGUCAAAAAAUUGAAAAUAGAGGUAUCCAGACAACCCAAUUUAUGUUUAUAGUACUUGGAAUUUAGAAGAUCAGGUGAAUUUUAAGCUAACUUCAUGAUUAUUGCAGUUUAUUGCCUGAUGCUUGAAUGCCUGUGACUAGCCAGACACAGAAGAUGACAGGCACUGAUAUUUUUUCUUCACUGUGAGGCAAAAGGUGCAAACUUCAGUCAGUUUUCUAUUAAGCUUUCCUCUCCACGUAUCAAAACAACAAAUGCAUAGAAACAAUCUGAAAUUCUGUUGGGGGGAAACAGCUAUCCUCAGGGUAUUUACCUGUAGGCUAACAAUUGAUUCACCUUUUAUAUUCCCUUCCUUUUUUCUCUUUUUUUUUUUUCAUUUAAGAAACGCAGCCCUCAGAAUGAUUGGGAUUUUCUUUUGUUGUUAAUAUGAGAUGCAAAUACUUGUAUAAAAAUUUGGUCCUGAGUAGUUGAUAUUUCAUAUGUGAGCCUCUGGGUUCUCUAACUUUCAUAUCAGGGAAGGAGUUUCUCAAUUUCAAGGGUGUUUCUGCAUGAUCGCUGCACUGGCUUUGUUUUUUGAGUUGAAGUGGGAGAAGUGUCACUGUAAAGUAGCUAAUUGCAGGGAGAAGCUUGUCCAGCCCCUGAUGGGAACUGCACCAUUUAACAGGAGAUUAAUGCUGAAUGCAGGGGGUUUAAAAUGCCUAAGGCUCAUCUGCUUGGUGUAAAUAAUGCCUCUUCCAGCUUUAAUAGAUGCAAGGAAACAACAGGUUUUGUGUGGAAAAUGUACUAUUCCAAAGUGAAAAUGGGGUAUUUUUCUCAAACUAGAUUUGGAGAAAAGUGGUAUAACAAAGUUUAAAUCCCUCAUUUGCACAGUUCUCCUGUGAGAGAAGGCUUUGAAAGUGCUUCUUGUUGCUUUUGCCCUGUAAAAUGACAUUCAGAUUGAUGGCACUUGUGGAAAGAUUUUGGGAUCUGCCAGCCCAGGUCCAGGAGCAAAAUUUGCCCUGUGACAUAUCCCUGGGUGUGCUUGCACUGUAUAAUGAACAUCGUUCAGUGAUGAACAGGAGGGUUCAGGAGGAGCUACAGUAAUUACUGAGUUCAGAUGAGUGUAAGAUCCUCUGUUGGUCUUUGGAUAAUGUGGUCAUGCACUUCUGAGAGCAAAGCUUGUGCACUGUGUCCCUUCGAUACGACUCUAGGAGUAACAGGACUGCUAAAAAGAGGUGUUCUUUCUCUUCCCCAUAGUAGAAACCUCCAAGGUUGUGCUAGUACUUCAGACAGUUGCUCGGUUAUAUUUGAAUAGCUUUGAAAAAGUCUCUUUAGCAAGGAGGGUAUUAUUUAUUGCUACUCGUAGGACUGUAGCUGUAGAUCCCCUGCGGGCCUGUAAUGCUGUAUGGAUACUCAGUGGGUAAAGAGGAGCAUCACUGCCAGGAGCUGUUAUAACCACUGUGACACAUGGGGCAAAGCCAGAAAAACCUUGGCAUUAGGGAAGGGAGCAGGAGAUCAAGGUAACAAAAUAGCUCCAGUUUAGUAAGAUAACAAGCUUGACAGACCACAGUUCACCUAAUGAAUGAAAUCAGAAUGCUUCUACCUUGAAGCACGAGUGCUGUGGCUCUUACUGCUUUUUUUCUCUUGUUACCUUCCUCCCUGGUUCUGAGAUUUGGUCAGAGAGAACAUCCUCUCUGGGACACUGCCUUUCAUUGCCAUUUUGUCUUUCUCCCUUAUCUCCUGUUAUCCUGUUCUCAUGUAGUAUUAAUGCACAAGAUGAUGAUUCUGGAAUGAGUUGACAGAGGUUUCACUGUCUGUUUUACUGGUAAAUUAUUGCUGAAGUGCCAGUCACUAAUGUAAAGGCAUUGAUUUGUAGUAUGCGCUAACACUUCCAGCUGAUGGCAUAAAUCAGUGGGUUUUACUCUUUGGUUAUCAAAUUCACACAUUUCCUAUUAUAAACUUUAGUGUACAUAGAUUUCUGCACAGCACAUGUGAAAUAACUUGUAUUAGUCAACUGUCUUGGACCUCAUAGAACAUGAGUCCAUUGAGUAGAGACCUUGAUUUAAAACAAAAGUGCAUUCAGAAUGAGGUAUCUAACCUUCACAGAGUGGAUUAAUUAAUGGAAAUGUUUGUUUAGUUUUUUUACAAAAAGGUACUAUUUCAUAGGAAGAUUAUGUGUAUUUUUCCAAUAGAUUAAAUUGUGAAGAUGAUUUUGAGGAAAUGACACCUUGCUACUACUAGUGAAUAAGGCAACUGAAAUUCCUCUAUAUUCAUAACCUAAAUUAAUGUUAAGCUUCUCAAAGGAUUGUGUCAGUAAUGGUGUGCAAAACAUUUCUGUAAAUUUUAGGAAGCUUAGAGAAUAAAUUGUUUGGGCCUGCCAGACUGUGGAGAAAUUGUAAAUAUAUCACUGGUGAACACAAGAAAAUGAUUUGUAAUAAGGCACACUGUUUUCUGAUUCUAAAGUUGUUGCUAUCAAAAAAACAAGUUAUGGAUGGCACAUGCUACUAAGGCUCUCUAUCAAUAUCUUAUAUGGUUAAUAUCUGUAAAAUAUCUAAAAGAGACUUUCUGAUGAUUAUAUCCUGAACAGAAAACAGCACAGCACCCAGGCAUAAGAUUGCAGACAGCCUACAGUUAGUUUUCUGGAGUGGAAACUGGACAGUAAAAUUUUUCUGAAAUUAAUGCUGUCAGUUUAAGUCAGUGUUAUCAACUGCAUCGUUUCUAGUUGGUAUUUCUACCAUACACAUGAAGCCCAUUAUCCAGGACGGUUGUGCUUAACUAUCACAGAACUGGCAUAUGUCUGUCUGAUGUAACACAUGGAUUUCCUUUGAUCAAUCCUAUCUGAAUAAGAACACUAGCUUCUUCUUCGGUGUGUUUUUAUAAACCACAUAUUUCCAUUUUAGGAAGGGUAUUUACGGCACAUGUUGAUAGUAAGUAUGUAGUUAUGCUCAUAAAUGAAAAAUAAUUUCUUAUCUGUCUUUUUUCUUUCUUCUUUUUUUCAUAUUUAACUGUAAAGGCUGGCAUCAUGCAGAUACAGGCAGUGAAAUGAUUUCAUACUCUUUUCAGGUUUUGAUAUCUUGACUAUAACAGCUCAAACCCAUGAUUUUUGGGCCUGUGUUUCUUUUGGCAUUUGUUUAGUUGAAUGGGUCAGUCUAUCCUGAGGAAGUACAGUAUUCUCUGUGUUUCAUAAAAUCCUCAACGUUAGAGCUCCUUUUUAGUUUGUAGUUGACUCUCGGUAUUUCUGCCUUCUGUCAACUCCUGCUUGCAGUCAUGGAGUGGUUUCCGAGAAGACUGACUAAAUGUGUCUGUUCUUUAGUGUCUGUCCAAAUCUCCUGCCAUUGUCUAUUGUCUGAGGCACAAAAAAAUUUAUUCCAGAGGAAAGUGCCAGAACACUAAUACAUAUUGUCAGAGACAUUGUUCCAGUAUUCAGAAAUAGACUCUGAUAUGCCAUUCAAGACUGUUAUAGCAUAAAGCUUGGGGCAGAGAUAAAGAGAGAUCCUCAUCUAAGACACUGGAAGGAAGAGAAAGAAACUAAAAACAAACUUAGGAAAAAAAAGAGAUGGCAGAUCCUGAAGCAGUUUGAAUAAUAUUUGCGAUUGGGAUAGAUUUUAUCAGCGUAGUAAAAUAAGUCGGUGUUAAAACUAAUCUGUGAAGAAGCAAAUCAUUUAUUAUUACACUUAUUAGGAUUUUAAUGAUUUUUGAAUAAAUAUACUGGAAUUCUUUUCAAACAAUCUAGAAAGAUUCAAAAUGUGGAUGCAAAAUGUCCACAGAGGUGGGCAAUAUUUCCAACAGGAUGCUAGUUAUAUUAAUUAUGAGGUUGUUAGUGAUGUUUUGCAACUAACAUACUUCUGCAACUUCUAUAGUCAUACAUGUAAAUCAUAUAUAAUAUGCAUCAGCAAUUUAUAGUUUAUUGCUAUUUAAUUGCCAGUCUUUAGUUCUACCUGACAUUAAAGCCAUGUCAAGCAUUUGGCAGCACCAAAGUUGUCCCUGAUAUUAGGAACAGUUUUUGCAAAGCAUUAGAUGUUUCUGAAUCAAAUGCAUAUUGUAUUAUUGGGCCAAAUCCUUAGAUCUUAAGAACUCUAGAUUUUGUAUGUAUUUGCAGCUGAAAUCCUGUUCUGUAUAUAUGGUUUGAAGAAUUAUUUGUACUUUUUCAGAAUAUUUCCCAUUUGCUGCACAAAUCUUCUGUACUGUAAACCCUGUCAAAAAUGAUGCGUCAGUGAAGAUACCAAUUUCAGUCAAUUUACUCAAAGGACUUCACCUUCAGCAAAGUGUAGUUAUUCUAAUUCUGGUUAUUAUUAUUACUUAAAUAAAAAUUUAUUAUUUAUUAUUGAA